rnacentral:rRNA from 1 species
GAGUUUGAUCCUGGCUCAGGACGAACGCUGGCGGCACGCCUAACACAUGCAAGUCGAACGGAGUGAAGAUGCUCGCAUCUGAACUUAGUGGCGGACGGGUGAGUAACACGUGAGCAACCUGCCUUUCAGAGGGGGAUAACGUUUGGAAACGAACGCUAAUACCGCAUAAAAUAUCGGAGUCGCAUGGCACUGAUAUCAAAGGAGCAAUCCGCUGAAAGAUGGGCUCGCGUCCGAUUAGGCAGUUGGCGGGGUAACGGCCCACCAAGCCGACAAUCGGUAGCCGGACUGAGAGGUUGAACGGCCACAUUGGGACUGAGACACGGCCCAGACUCCUACGGGAGGCAGCAGUGGGGGAUAUUGCACAAUGGGGGAAACCCUGAUGCAGCGAUGCCGCGUGAAUGAAGACGGCCUUCGGGUUGUAAAGUUCUGUCGCAGGGGACGAAAAUGACGGUACCCUGCAAGAAAGCUCCGGCUAACUAC